GACGAACGCUGGCGGCGUGCUUAACACAUGCAAGUCGAACGGAAAGGCCCUGCUUUUGUGGGGUGCUCGAGUGGCGAACGGGUGAGUAACACGUGAGUACCCUGCCCUUCACUUGGAGAUGACUUCAGGAAAGUGGCUCUAAUACCAGAUAAGAUCUCAUGCCUCAGGGUGGGGGUGAGAAAGUUUCUGUGGUUGGAGAUGGACUCGCCGCGUCUCAGCUUGUUGGUGGGGUAGUGGCUUACCAAGGCCUUGACGGGUAGCCGGCCUGAGAGGGUGACCGGACACACUGGGACUGAGAUACGGCCCAGACUCCUACGGGAGGCAGCAGUGGGGAAUAUUGCACAAUGGGCGGAAGGCUGAUGCAGCAACGCCGCGUGCGGGAUGACGGCCUUCGGGUUGUAAACCGCUUUCGCUUGUGACGAAGCGAGAGUGACGGUAAUGGGAAAAGAAGCGCCGGCUAACUACGUG
rnacentral:rRNA from 1 species